UACGUAGGCAGCAAGCGUUGUUCGGAGUUACUGGGCGUAAAGGGUGUGUAGGCGGUUGUUUAAGUUUGGUGUGAAAUCUCCCGGCUCAACUGGGAGGGUGCGCCGAAUACUGAAUGACUAGAGUGCGGGAGAGGAAAGUGGAAUUCCUGGUGUAGCGGUGAAAUGCGUAGAUAUCAGGAGGAACACCGGUGGUGUAGACGGCUUUCUGGACCGUAACUGACGCUGAGGAGCGAAAGCGUGGGGAGCGAACAGG
rnacentral:rRNA from 1 species